UGCUCAGCCCCCGGUCGCCUCCAGCCUCGGCAGGGGGCUGAUUGCCUCUCUGAGGGGAGGCGGGCGGCUGAGGCCCGCCCUGCCAGCAUUCCGGAGAGUUCCUUCUCCAAAAUAAACCUCGCCUAAGCAUUUAAAUGUGCGGCUGAGCAUGAAGUCCAGUCAACAAUUUUAUUCCAAGAAUGCAAAUGAAUCCCUGAGGGGCCAGGAAGAGGCGGAAUGCCCUGGCCCAGAAGCUUUUUUUUUUUUUUUUUUAGAGUGCGAGUAGGACACAGCAAAUUCCACCGCCUCGAGCCAGAAUUGGGGAAACUGAGGCUGGGGCAUCAGCUCAAGGUCGCAGAGCCGGGAAAAGGCAGAGUGGGCUGGAACGUGGCUGCCAGAUGCUUUCCACCCCGCAUAGAACCACCCCACCAGGGUGCUAUUCCUGUGCACAGAGCACUCUCCCCGAUGUAGGCCAGUAGCCCCGGAAGGACAGAUGUGUGAGAUGGAGAUCCAAAGACGCUUCGGAAGGCUGCUGAACACAAACACGCUCGCGUUGGCCCUCUGCUGGCAGCAGCCGGGUGCGCGGAGAUGGUCAGAUAGGCUGCUUCUCGGUCCUUUCCAACAUUUCUGAGCCCGCAAUUCACCAGGCCAGCUUGCCUUCGGGAAUCUCUCUCCGCACACUCCAAGGCGUGUUCCAGCUGACCCCCCCCUUUGCUGUGAUGGCUCAAAUCCCAAGUCCUCCACUCAUCAGCUCUAAGACACUGGAUGAGACAUUUAACCUCUUCUUGUCCUGAUUUCCUCCUCUGUAAAAUGGGGAGCACGCUGGGACCUGCUUCAGAGCGGUUACGAGUUUGAAAUGAGUUCAGAUACAGAAAACAC